UUAAAAAAGGAAAUGUCUCUUACGGAACUGCACUGUGUUAGCACUGUUGCGUUUAAUGUUCUCACCCGUGACUAAAUAGAGGUCGCGUCUAUUCCAUUUGCAAAUGAUUCACAUCUGAGAGAAGUACUUAAUAUAGUGAUGGCAGAUAUAUGUUUGAAAUAUAAUUAGAUAAAUAUUAAUAGAAUAUACAUUCUGUAUUGAGACUUAGAAAGUCAGCUUUGUAUGGAAGGAACUUGAGAAACCCUCACCUAUUAUCAAUAGCUCAGUUCUAAAAGAUUUGUGGUUUUUUAUAACCCUAGGCUAACUUGGAGUAAGGGAUGGUUUUACUCCAUUCAUUGAUUAGACUGCAUCUAGAGUACAGUUUAAUUUUGAAUUUAUUCAUUCAUUCUGAAAGUAUUUUAGGAUGCUUCUUACAUGCUAACCCAUGUGGUAGCCAUCAGAUAUGCAUUAGGGAACAGACCCACAUAGUCCAACCUUCACUGAGUUUUCAAGUCAAAUGCUAACGUAGUUGAAUAGUCCAGAACUAAAAGAAGAGAGUUUCGAGACAGUGAUUGAGUUAGGUGGGGAUAAUAUACAGAGUCUUGUUCUUCAUCAAAAUGGCAAUAAGAAGGCAUUGCAGGGUUUUUGGGGUUUUGGUUGUCAGUAUUGUAGGUUUUUAAAUUGCAGUAAAAUGUGUAACAAAAUUUACCAUUUAAAUAUUUUUAAUGUACAGUUCAAUAGAUACAGUUGCCUAUAUGUAUGUUAUAUGCUUUAGGUUUUUUAAUUGCAAUAAAAUAUGUAUAACAAAAUUUACCAUUUAAACAUUUUAAAAUAUAUAAUUCAGUGACUUUCAGUAGAUUCUAAUGUAUUACAGUACAUUCUGUUGUUGUCCAGUCAUUACUACUUUUCAUCAUGAGAACUUUUUCAUCAUUGCAAAUUGAAAUUCUGUACCCAUUAAAUAAUUGUCCCCAUUUCCUCCUUCCCCAGUCCCUAUACUGUGACAAAGUAUGAGACUACAUGAUUAGAUUUACAAGUUUGAUUUAUUAUCUAAGAUAUUUCACAUGGUUCAAAAUUCUAAACCUAUAGAAGAGUAUAUACCUUGAAAAACCCCUUUUACCUAAGUUCUUCUCCUUAUUGGCAACUGUAUCUAGUUUUUCCUCUUUCCUCAGAAACUGUGCAUAUUCAAGCAAAUUCAUAUGUUUUUAAAAGAUUGUAAUAUAAGCAUAAACAUUGUUUUGUAAUUUCCCCUUUUUUCUUUUUUUUCACAUACAUAAAUAACUUCCUCCUCUUAAUGGUUGUGUGGCAUUAUAUAAUUGGAAAUAUACUGUACUUAUGGGGAUGGCAGGAAGUUGAGAGUUUGCAUUGUACAGUUUAUAUUUUCUCUAUGGAAUGGGAAGCAGGAUAGUCAUAUGUUCAGAGAAAUGGAAAAGUAGAGGGUUAAAGGUUUCGUGAAAGUUGCUACAGUUAGAAAUUUUGCCAAAUGAGAAUGAGAUAAUGUGAUUAGUGUGGUAGCUCUGAGUAACCGUUUGAGAUCAGCAACUCCAAAUUUGUAAUGGAACCAGUUUUCUUUAAGGUAUGAUUUCUCCAGUCACAUUCAGUAGCCUGGAUACAGGCCUGGAAAAGGCUUCAGGCCUUUUUGAAUCCUGAAGUUGGAUCCAUUCAAGAUUGGAUUUUUUCACCAGCUUAUGAUGUAUGGACUGUGGGACAAGGGAACUUAAACUAUAUAUUAAUAAGAACAAAGCUAAUGUAUGAACUCAGAAAUCAAAAGGACUGAGGAAAUAUGUGAAGACAGGGAAAAUAUAAUGGAUUUGGAAAUUAGAGGAGUCAGUUGACCAAAAUGUACUGAUGAGAUAGUAAAGACAUAGUGAGUAUAAAUGAAGAAGCACCCUUGAAGGAUGGGGUAGGUAGAGAGUGGAAUGUCUGAAUUUACCAGGUAGAACUAACUGUUUUUUUAGGACCUGGUUGUAACCACAGGAAUAGUUGGAGUAGAUUUUAGAAGGUCAUUGUAGGCAGUGAGUGUGAGGAACUAAGAGGGAACUAAAAGCAUUAUUUUAAGAAGCUUUUCAAGAAUUGAAAACAUAUCUCAGUAAGGGUGACCAGAAUGAAAGGAAUCUCAAAUCCAGCUCUACAAAUGUCUAAUGUUAUUGAUUGCCUACUACAUUUAAGACAUUAUUUCAGAGCUGCCGGCAAUACAAAGAUGAAUAAGACAUGGUACUUGAUAUUAUGAAGCCUAUAGGAAUUUGAAAAAGAGAAGCCCUAAGGGGAACAGGUUUUUAAAUAUUUAAAGAUCUGUCAUGUUUUAAAAGAAUUAGAUAGCUGUCUUUGUGGCCUCAGAGAACAAAACUAUUUUCAAGUAGGAAAACAAUAGGGAAGUAGAUUUUUGCUUAAUAUGAGUAAGAACUUUUAAAAUAUGUAUACUUAUGUAUGUAGCACUAUAACAAUAAAAAUCGAAAGGAAAAAUACCAUAAUUCUGCUAUACUAACAAAUAAAUUGUUUUCAUUUUUAAUUUCUACACUUGUCUGUAUAUCUAAUUUUUACAUAGUUUUAAUCUAGCUUAUAUAUAAUGAAUGCUAUCAUUUGCUAAUUUUCUCUUAGCAAUGCCUUGUCCCAUGCUUUAACAUUGUCUUUAUAAGUUGUUUUAUUUUCUUUACUUUUAUUAAUAUAAAGAUAGUUUAUUGCAUUUGGGAAAGUUAUUCAUACUUAUUUUAACAAACCACACAUAGAAAAAACAUUGUUUUAAAAAAGUAAAAGUCAACUGUUGUGCUUUCGUAACUUUCCCUCUAGAUAGCUUCUCUACUAAGUACAUAAAGAAGGAUGAUUUGAUAGAUAGACAAUUUUAUGUAAAUAGGGUCAUAUUGCACACACUCUUCUGUAAUAUGCCUUUUCCCUUUAAUGCUAUGUUAGGGCAUUUUUUGGUAUCAGUAACUAAAAUAUAUAAUUUUUAUUGGCUAUAUGAUUAUAUUUUAUAUAUAAGAUACUAUACCAUGUGUCUUAGAUGUAUUAUUUUUAAUUCUUUCAACAGUCCUACAAGUAGAUGAUAGAAUAUCCAUUUUAUAGAUGAGGAAGCUGUAUUUGGAAAUGUUAAGCUGUAUUUGGAAAGCUUAAGUAACUUGUCAAGUCAUAUAACUAAAAAAUGAAAAAACAAGAAUGCAAACACCCUUUAACACCACUUUUCUUCCAUUUUCCUUCCAGUAUUUGAAUUAUUUGGUAAUUCAGUGUCUAUGUUUAUAUUCUUAACUAAAUAUGUUAAAUUAAUGGACUAAAUAAAUUAACAUUCUCUACUAAAUCAAGUAGUUGACGGUUCCUUUCCUGGUCAACUUUUUGUUUACCUUAUAACUCAUUUUUUUACCCAUCUGCUUGGUUUUCUAUAUAGCUGUUGCUGCUUUUUCACUGAAAGACUCCAACCAAUCUGUCAACUUCCAGCAUGUCUUCUAAGCACAUAAAAUAAUCUUUUUCUUUUUCCUGGAGAUUUUCCUCCCACAGCCUUCUGUUUUGCUCCUAUCUAAACUGAUUUUUCUUUAGGCAUGGCACAAAGCUGUCACCCUGAAUUUCCUUGGGCCAUUCUGUCCUGUUGGAUCCCGAGAUUCCUGGAUUUCAUGUUUUUUAUUUCUUAGUUUAUUCCCUGAUAGUUUCAAUAUUUUAUUAUGGAAAAAAAUAACAUAUACAAAAGUACAUGCUAUAGUAUAAUGAACCCCCCUAUGUACUCAUCACCCAGUUUCAACAAUUGCUAACUCAUGGCCAGUUUUGUUUUAGCUAUGCUCUCAUCUACCUCUCCUACCCCAUAUUAUUUUGAAGGAAAUCCUAGACAUUGUAUUUAUCUAUAAAAUAUUUCACUAUAUAUCUCUAAAGAGUAAGGAAGGACUGUUCUUAAAAAUAAUUAUUCGGGGCUUAAUACCUAGGUGAUGGGCUGAUGGAUGCAGCAAACCACCAUGGCACGUUUACCUACGUAACGAACCUCAACAUUCUGCACAUGUAUCCCCGAACUUAAAGUAAAAUUUUUUUAAA